rnacentral:rRNA from 1 species
UACAGGGGGGGCAAGCGUUGUUCGGAAUUACUGGGCGUAAAGGGCUCGUAGGUGGCCAACUAAGUCAGACGUGAAAUCCCUCAGCUUAACUGGGGAACUGCGUCUGAUACUGGAUGGCUUGAGUUUGGGAGAGGGAUGCGGAAUUCCAGGUGUAGCGGUGAAAUGCGUAGAUAUCUGGAGGAACACCGGUGGCAAAGGCGGCAUCCUGGACCAACACUGACACUGAGGAGCGAAAGCUAGGGGAGCAAACGGG